rnacentral:rRNA from 1 species
UAGUCUCGCACAGAUGCAUAUCAAUAAGCGGAGGAAAAGAAACUAACAAGGAUUCCCUUAGUAACGGCGAGUGAAGCGGGAAGAGCUCAAAUUUGAAAUCUUCAAGGUUUUACCUUGACGAAUUGUAGUUUAAAGAAGUGUUUUCUGUUGAAGUUUUGGUAAAAGUUCUUUGGAAUAGGACAUCACAGAGGGUGAGAAUCCCGUAUUUGACCAUUAUUUUCAGCUGUGUGAUACACUUUCAAAGAGUCGGAUUGUUUGGGAAUGCAGUCCAAAAUGGGUGGUAAAUUUCAUCUAAAGCUAAAUAUUGGCGAGAGACCGAUAGCGAACAAGUACCGUGAGGGAAAGAUGAAAAGAACUUUGAAAAGAGAGUUAAACAGUACGUGAAAUUGUCAAAAGGGAAGCGUUUGACACCAGUGUUGUUUUCUCGAAAAUCAAUUAAAAAGAGUUAGAUUUUGUUGUGUAUUGACCUUAACAGCUUGCAUUUCAAUUUUCUUGCUUUUUUUAAUGCACUUUUCGUUUAACAAGUCAACAUCAGUUUCUUUUGUUGUAAAAAGGUCAUUGGAAGGUGGCUUUCUUUUCGGAGAAAGUGUUUAUAGCCUUUGACUCCUGCAAUCGGAGAGAUUGAGGUCUGCAGCGUAGAUCCUUCGGGGUUAGAUACAUUUGUGCUAAGUUAUAGCUUUUUAUAGACAACUUGUUGACUAUGAUUAGUCUUGUAGCUUACUCGCUUAUGCUAUUUUACCUACGCUUAGGAUGUUGAGCGCAUGUCUCUCUCU